GAUUGACCUCGGAUCAGGUUGGGAUACCCGCUGAACUUAAGCAUAUCCAUUAAC
rnacentral:rRNA from 1 species